rnacentral:rRNA from 1 species
CAGUCGCCGCGGGAAUACAGAGGGUGCGAGCGUUAAUCGGAUUUACUGGGCGUAAAGCGUGCGUAGGCGGCUUUUUAAGUCGGAUGUGAAAUCCCUGAGCUUAACUUAGGAAUUGCAUUCGAUACUGGGAAGCUAGAGUAUGGGAGAGGAUGGUAGAAUUCCAGGUGUAGCGGUGAAAUGCGUAGAGAUCUGGAGGAAUACCGAUGGCGAAGGCAGCCAUCUGGCCUAACACUGACGCUGAGGUACGAAAGCAUGGGGAGCAAACAGGAUUAGAUACCCCAGUAGUCCCUGUCUCUUAUAC